UUUUCAGGUUCUUUUUCCUAACAAUGACUAACUGCCUCUAAACGAAAAAAUUAAUUCAUUAAGUUGUAUUUAUGACUACUUGAAAUCAGUGGAAAGAUGGCCUUUAUGUGUUGGUACUCAGAUUGACAGUAUAAAGUAUUCAAAACUUUGUAAAAAUUUGAUUGUUGGUGAUGACACUUAUAAAAGGAACCAAGCUAAUCCAAGAUGUAAACCUUGUCGAAUAUUACGGAAUCGAUUGCAGAGUCGAAAUUCGACUUCAAUUAAUUUGGAAAUAACAAUUGCUAAAAAAAGACGUGCUUCAAAUCUAGUUAGGCAAUGCAAACGUUUAAAAAAAAUGGCAAACCUCCCAAUUUAUACAAUUUCAAUGGCUACACAGUGCAUCACAAAUUGAUUAUCAUUAGGAAACAUUUCCUACUGGAUAAUAUUAAUAUAUGUAUUUGCGAGAGUAUGCAAAUAUAAUAUUACUUGAUAAUCUAUCAAGAAGUUUCGUAAUAUGAACAUAAGUCAAAAAUAUUGAGUAGUUAUUGACAAUAUACUCAUGUUUGUCGUAAAAUAUUAUAUUUUUCUACGGCAAUUUAAAAUGAUUUAACAAUUUUUGGACAGUUUUUAAUAAGACUCAAGAUCAAAUAAUUUUAUAUACCUCCCGAUAUUUUUGUU